rnacentral:rRNA from 1 species
GUCGAACGAACCUUCGGGUGAGUGGCGGACGGGUGAGUAACGCGUGGGAAUCUGCCCUCAGGAGGGGGAUAACGACUGGAAACGGUCGCUAAUACCCCAUAUGCCGAGAGGUGAAAUGAAUUUCGCCUGAGGAUGAGCCCGCGUCUGAUUAGCUAGUUGGUGGGGUAAGAGCUCACCAAGGCGACGAUCAGUAGCUGGUCUGAGAGGAUGAUCAGCCACACUGGGACUGAGACACGGCCCAGACUCCUACGGGAGGCAGUAGUGGGGAAUUUUCCGCAAUGGGCGAAAGCCUGACGGAGCAACGCCGCGUGAGGGAUGAAGGCCUCUGGGCUGUAAACCUCUUUUCUCAAGGAAGAAGAUCUGACGGUACUUGAGGAAUAAGCCACGGCUAAUUCCGUGCCAGCAGCCGCGGUAAUACGGGAGUGGCAAGCGUUAUCCGGAAUCAUUGGGCGUAAAGCGUCCGCAGGUGGCUUUGUAAGUCUGCUGUUAAAGCGUGGAGCUUAACUCCUUUUCAGCGGUGGAAACUACAAAGCUUGAGUGUGGUAGGGGCAGAGGGAAUUCCCGGUGUAGCGGUGAAAUGCGUAGAUAUCGGGAAGAACACCAGUGGCGAAGGCGCUCUGCUGGGCCAUAACUGACACUCAUGGACGAAAGCCAGGGGAGCGAAAGGGAUUAGAUACCCCUGUAGUCCUGGCCGUAAACGAUGAACACUAGGCGUCGGGGGAAUCGACCCCCUCGGUGUCGUAGCCAACGCGUUAAGUGUUCCGCCUGGGGAGUACGCACGCAAGUGUGAAACUCAAAGGAAUUGACGGGGGCCCGCACAAGCGGUGGAGUAUGUGGUUUAAUUCGAUGCAACGCGAAGAACCUUACCAGGGUUUGACAUCCUGCGAACCCCUGAGAAAUCGGGGGGUGCCUUCGGGAACGCAGUGACAGGUGGUGCAUGGCUGUCGUCAGCUCGUGUCGUGAGAUGUUGGGUUAAGUCCCGCAACGAGCGCAACCCACGUCUUUAGUUGCCAGCAUUCAGUUGGGCACUCUAGAGAGACCGCCGGUGAUAAACCGGAGGAAGGUGUGGAUGACGUCAAGUCAUCAUGCCCCUUACAUCCUGGGCUACACACGUACUACAAUGCUACGGACAAAGGGCAGCAAACUCGCGAGAGCAAGCAAAUCCCAUAAACCGUGGCUCAGUUCAGAUCGUAGGCUGCAACUCGCCUACGUGAAGGAGGAAUCGCUAGUAAUCGCAGGUCAGCAUACUGCGGUGAAUACGUUCCCGGGCCUCGUACACACCGCCCGUCACACCAUGGAAGUUAGCCACGCCCGAAGUCGUUACUCCAACCCUUGUGGAGGAGGAUGCCGAAGGUGGGGCUGAUGACUGGGGUGAAGUCGUAACAAGGUA